rnacentral:lncRNA from 1 species
GCGCGCGGGGCCCGCCGGGACUGGGGGUGUGCGGCUGCGCAGACUUGGUAACGCGAGAGCGCGCGGGGAGGGUGUGUCACGCCUCCCGAGACUGGGGCUGUGCGGCCUCACGGAGAAACUGAGGCAGGCGCGAAGCGUCGAGUGCGCGCGUGGCCCUGCAGGCAGGCGGAGACCCUGGUGGCUCCCAUACACGUAACAGCACUCACUGCUCUUUGACGUUAGUGAAUAGACCGUAAGCUCCCUGGAGCAGGGACCUUAUCCCAGCGUCUACCGCGGCGCCCGUCACCUAGCUUCCUCCUUGGAGGGACCUCAGAAGUCCCAGGCUUCAUAGUGUCAAGUUCAACAGAAAGAGUAGUUUUCAUCUUUCCACAGUUCUUAGAAAAGUCCUGAGACUGAGUUUUACUGGGCAAUGUCAGUUUAGUAAAAGGGACAGGAUGUUAGCAAAGGAAGGCAUUACCAGCAAUAAGAAGUGAUAGCUGCCACGGGAAGCAAAUGCAGAAACAGCAGCCUGGGCUGUUCCAUGCAGGGGAGUUCAGCUCAGGUGGGCAAAACCAGAUAACUAACAUGAACAGUGGAACAAUCAGUGAACCAAUACAAGGGUUAAAUAAGCUAGCAAUUAAAAGCUGUAUCACUGGUCUAAAGAUAGAAGAUCAAGUAGAAAAUCAGCGCAAGAGGAAAGAUAUACGAAAACUAAUGACCUUCAAGGUUUGGCUGAACAGCUGAACUGCAGGAUGGAUUGGAAUGCCUAGAACCAGAAACUUAGGAUGCCUAGAACCAGAAACUCAGCCAUUGCUGAGGUUCACUGCUUCUCAGCGCUGCUGCUUUAUACACACAAACUGUAUUCUCUCCCACUGUUUUGUCUUCUUUCAUAAAGCAGGAAACAUAGGUGCUCAUAACUUGUGAGUUUUAAGUCUUACUCUAGAGUUUACAAAUGCA